rnacentral:rRNA from 1 species
UACGGAGGGGGCUAGCGUUGUUCGGAAUUACUGGGCGUAAAGCGCACGUAGGCGGAUCUUUAAGUCAGAGGUGAAAUCCCAAGGCUCAACCUUGGAACUGCCUUUGAUACUGGGGAUCUUGAGUCCGGGAGAGGUGAGUGGAACUGCGAGUGUAGAGGUGAAAUUCGUAGAUAUUCGGAAGAACACCGGUGGCGAAGGCGGCUCACUGGCUCGUAACUGACGCUCAUGCACGACAGCGUGGGGAUCAAACAGG